rnacentral:rRNA from 1 species
AUGCCGAUGGCGAGGAGAUCUUCGGGGCGCGGCGGCGGCGGGCCGGGGGUGGAGGUCACGAUGGUGAUGGCGCUGGCGGCGGCGGAAGGGGAAGACAACGUUAUCAUCAUCAGCCGCCCCGACCAAGCCGGCCUCGGCUGUAACCUCUACAGCAACAUCUCGAGUUCGAGCUUCGCAUCUCCGGCAGCGGUGAUCCCCUCCACAUCCUGUCCGGAAAUUACUUAA